GACGAACGCUGGCGGCGUGCUUAACACAUGCAAGUCGAACGGAAAGGCCCUGCUUUUGUGGGGUGCUCGAGUGGCGAACGGGUGAGUAACACGUGAGUAACCUGCCCUUGACUUUGGGAUAACUUCAGGAAACUGGGGCUAAUAACGGAUAGGAGCUCCUGCUGCAUGGUGGGGGUUGGAAAGUUUCGGCGGUUGGGGAUGGACUCGCGGCUUAUCAGCUUGUUGGUGGGGUAGUGGCUUACCAAGGCUUUGACGGGUAGCCGGCCUGAGAGGGUGACCAGCCACAUUGGGACUGAGAUACGGCCCAGACUCCUACGGGAGGCAGCAGUGGGGAAUAUUGCACAAUGGGCGGAAGCCUGAUGCAGCAACGCCGCGUGCGGGAUGACGGCCUUCGGGUUGUAAACCGCUUUCGCCUGUGACGAAGCGUGAGUGACGGUAAUGGGUAAAGAAGCACCGGCUAACUACGUG
rnacentral:rRNA from 1 species